GACGAACGCUGGCGGCGUGCUUAACACAUGCAAGUCGAACGAGAAAGCCCUUCGGGGUAAGUACAGUGGCGAACGGGUGAGUAACACGUGGGCAACCUGCCCCAGAGAGCGGGACAACCCGGGGAAACCCGGGCUAAUACCGCAUGAUGCGUCUCCACUUAAGUGGAGCCGCCAAAUGGUAGCUUCGGCCUUCGCUCCGGGAUGGGCCCGCGCCGGAUUAGCUAGUUGGUGGGGGUAACGGCCCACCAAGGCGACGAUCCGUAGCUGGUCUGAGAGGACGAUCAGCCACACUGGGACUGAGACACGGCCCAGACUCCUACGGGAGGCAGCAGUGGGGAAUCUUGCGCAAUGGGCGAAAGCCUGACGCAGCAACGCCGCGUGGGGGAAGAAGGCCUUCGGGUUGUAAACCUCUUUCAGUAGGGACGAAGCUUCCGGGGUUAAUAGCCUACGGGGUGACGGUACCUACAGAAGAAGCCCCGGCUAACUACGUGCCAGCCGCCGCCGUAA
rnacentral:rRNA from 1 species